UACGUAAGGGGCGAGCGUUGUCCGGAAUUACUGGGCGUAAAGGGCGCGCAGGCGGCCGAGUAAGUCCGCUGUGAAAGACCGGGGCUCAACCCCGGGGUGUCAGCGGGGACUGCUUGGCUGGAGUCUCGGAGAGGGAUGCGGAAUACCUGGUGUAGCGGUGGAAUGCGUAGAGAUCAGGUGGAACACCGAUGGCGAAGGCAGCAUCCUGGACGAGUACUGACGCUGAGGCGCGAAAGCGUGGGGAGCGAACGGG
rnacentral:rRNA from 1 species